rnacentral:rRNA from 1 species
GCCCCAGUAACGGCGAGUGAAGCGGCAACAGCUCAGAUUUGAAAUCUGGCCCUUACGGGGUCCGAGUUGUAAUCUGUAGAGGAUGCUUUUGGCGACGCGCCUUCCGAGUCCCCUGGAACGGGGCGCCAGAGAGGGUGAGAGCCCCGUAUGGUUGGACGCCGAACCUUUGUAAAGCUCCUUCGACGAGUCGAGUAGUUUGGGAAUGCUGCUCAAAAUGGGAGGUAAAUUUCUUCUAAAGCUAAAUACCGGCCAGAGACCGAUAGCGCACAAGUAGAGUGAUCGAAAGAUGAAAAGCACUUUGAAAAGAGGGUUAAAUAGCACGUGAAAUUGCUGAAAGGGAAGCGCUUGUGACCAGACUUGCGCCCGGUUGAUCAUCCAGCGUUCUCGCUGGUGCACUCUGCCGGGCUCAGGCCAGCAUCGGCUCUCCCAGGGGGAUAAAGGUCGCGGGAACGUAGCUCUCUCCGGGGAGUGUUAUAGCCCGUGGCGGAAUGCCCUUAGGGGGGGCCGAGGCUCGCGUUCGCAAGGAUGCUGGCGUAAUGGUCACCAGCGACCCGUCUUGAAACACGGACCAAGGAGUCAAGCAUUAGGGCGAGUCUUUGGGUGCAAAACCCGCAGGCGCAAUGAAAGUGAACGGAGGUGAGAGCUUCGGCGCAUCAUCGACCGAUCCUGAUGUUCUCGGAUGGAUUUGAGUAAGAGCCUUACCGCUUGGACCCGAAAGGUUAGUCAACAAACUUUUUCUUUUGAGAACUACAAAACACAAAUUUACACCGGCCUAUCGAAAUCUGUUUAUAUAAUAUAUAUCCGUGGACAUGAUUCCCCCC